rnacentral:rRNA from 1 species
UACGUAGGUGGCAAGCGAUACUCGGAAUCACUAGGCGUAAAGCGCAGGUAGGAGGUUUGGAAAGUCUCUUGUGAAAGCUCCCGGCUUAACUGGGAGAGGUCAAGGGAAACUGCCAGGCUAGAGUGCGGUAGAGGUAGCUGGAAUUCCCGGUGUAGCGGUGAAAUGCGUAGAUAUCUGGAAGAACACCGAUGGCGAAGGCAACCUCCUGGGCCUGUUCUGACGCUGAGGCACGAAAGCGUGGGGAGCAAACAGG